rnacentral:rRNA from 1 species
UGAGGAAUAUUGGUCAAUGGACGAGAGUCUGAACCAGCCAAAUCGCGUGAAGGAAGACUGCCCUACGGGUUGUAAACUUCUUUUGUACAGGAAUAAAAGACAUUACGUGUAAUGUAUUGCAUGUACUGUACGAAUAAGCAUCGGCUAACUCCGUGCCAGCAGCCGCGGUAAUACGGAGGAUGCGAGCGUUAUCCGGAUUUAUUGGGUUUAAAGGGUGCGCAGGCGGGAUUUUAAGUUAGCGGUGAAAUUUUCAGGCUCAACCUGAACACUGCCGUUGAUACUGGGAUUCUUGAUUAUGGAUGAAGUAGGCGGAAUUCGUUGUGUAACGGUGACAUGCUUAGAUAUAACGAGGAACUCCGAUUGCGUAGGCAGCUUACUAAGCCAUAACUGACGCUCAAGCACGAAAGCGUGGGGAUCAAACA